UUGUCUUUUUAUAUUUUGUAUAGUCAUUUUGCAAUUUGUUUAAGCAUGUAGAUAUUGCACAAAGCAUAUUUUGUUGUCUAAUGCAAUGACGUUUAUACAUUUAAAGGGACAGUAGACCCAAAAAUGUCAACUUUUUCUCACCUGCCCUAAACCUGAAUGUAUUUUUUCUACCUCAGAUCCCAAAAUAAAGUGUUUUGAAGAAUGUUGGUAGCUAAAUAUGUUCAGUUCCCUUUGACUUUGGUUGUAUGGACCGAAGACGAUUGGAGUCGAUAGGAACCGGAACCGUUUGGUUAGCAACAUUCUUCAAAAUAUCUUCUUUUGUGUUCAAGCAGGAGAAGGUAAUACAUACACGUUUGGAAAGACAUGAGGGUACACCUUUCUGGAUAGUUAUUUUUUGAUGUGUCGAUGAAAAACGAGUCAUUCUGCCCCGGUGCACAUGCUCUCUGUCUACAUCCACCUCCCACCUUCUCUCCUGAAGGACAGAACACGUAAAUCUCAGUGGGAUGGUGGGAAGUAUCGUCUGGCCCAUCCUAAGGAGGUCAUUCAGCCAGGAGGAAUCCACCGAGAGUGCAAGCGUUUGGCUUUUUCUUUCUUUUGAAAGGGAGAGAGAGUUUAUGCCAGCCGGAACAAUUGAGACGUUUGAUUCCCGACAGUUUUAUGAUGGCGUCUGGUUCGCGGUGUGAGUGUGUGCGACCGAGAGGCGAUAAAAACGCACGCCCUCGUGUUUACCAAGCUGGACGCUUCGGAAAAGCACCGAUGACGCCGAACGCUCACAAAAGCUGACACCUGUUUUCACAGACGUUGCCUCAUCCUGUCACAUCAGUUCGAGAAACUUUUAGCAUCACAUUUAUGGAUUCCCUAAACACUCCCUGCCCUCAGAUCUCAGGUUUGGCAGCAUCUGGCUGGCUUUCCAUAUUGCGUUUGAGCGCCGAGAUGUGCGUGACAUGCUUAAGCUGUCUUCAAACGCAGCUCUUCCAGAUCUGAACACAAUUACCAGACAGCCGCGAUUACGUGUCAUGUCAAACACAGGCGAGUGAUUAAGAGAACAUAUUCUUUGUUUUCACCCGAGACCGAGAGAACAUAUUUCAUGUGAAGGAUUCUUUUCAUUCGGUAAAUGAGCCAAAUUAAUUCGUAUCCCUGAAUGGCCCCGAACGCACGUAGGGUUGAGCGGGGAUAAAGAUCUAAGGUUUAAUAUCAAAACAAAUAUGCGAUGAUGCAAAUCGGAUGUUAAACGAAUCGUGAGACAUUCGGGGGAGUGGAUAUGAGCGUAUCUCCGAGGGAAACUGAACUCAAUUCAUCGUGCUUCUGAAUAAUGCAUGCUUUAA